UAAGAAGGAAAGAUAAGAGCUGCCAGG
rnacentral:piRNA from 1 species